rnacentral:rRNA from 1 species
UCGGGUAGGUUGCCGAUGCUCGUCGCAGACCGGCGGCACGRGGCGGCUUUUCGGGCGGUCCCGCGGCGGUCCCGUACCCUCCGCGAAGAGGGCGGACGCGAGGCUGCCGGCGGGCGGCCAGCGUCGCGGCCGAACGCUGCGUCGUUGUGACUGAGGGCGAGGUGCGUUACGCCGUCUCCGUCGGUUAGCCGUGCCUGCGCGUGUUCGUGGAGCGACGGGCCGGUCGAGAGUGGCGCUCGGAUCCCGCCGCCGGCCGGCCGUGAACCGAGACGGCGGGCGCAAGGUGCGACCUGCGGACCGCGCAGACCCUCCGGCCCGACGGAACGGUCGCACGACCAUC